AUCAGGUUUUAGUUGUUCAAGUUUGGUUUCCGUGUUCAACUUUUAGGUUAAGACGACCAUUAUUCAUGUGCAGUUUUACUAGUUAAAACUUAAACCGCAAGAAUUAUAUACAACAAUUAGGUGGUAGACCAUACCUAUAAAAAUGAGUAUAUUCUUUUAGGUUUUUUUGCAGAUCAAGUCAGAUCUGAAUAAAUAGUAGGAUACUCUUCGACUUCAUUUUAACAAAUUACCAUGUUUGAAUCUCAUUCAGCUCAAUUAUGAGUCAGUCAAAGUAUUAAUUAAGAUUAAUAGAAAAUAUCAAGCUCUUCAAAUUCAUCUCAUUUUUUCAGCUGGGUUUUUGUGUCAGGGUUUAACAUUGUGCUUGUAUUAGUGUGAGGGAGAGGAAUUUGUGAUUCAUUUGUGCUCAAAACAGUUUUCUGCUGCGGUUGCUACUGUUGUUCGUCGAGGUUUUCUGCUGCUGUUACUGUUGUU